GUUACUUUCCUUCCCCCACUUGGGUGGUGUUUGCUCCUGAAUCAAACAGCCUGAGGUUUGGGUCCUGGAGAAAACCUGGUGUGCUCCCUGGAAAACUGCUAAGACAAAAACUCCUCCCACUCAGUGCUCUGGGUGACUGUCUUAAGGCUAAACUGAUGAUAUCUUACAAAGAUUCAGGACUGGAAAAAACAUCAUCAGAGAUAUCAGCAAAACAUAUAUGACAUCUACACAAGGAACCAUGAAUAGUGAUGUCUGGUUUAAUAAAAUCAGUGCUUUCCUGGAAGCCACCUUGAGAAAUGCAAGUGGCUAC